rnacentral:rRNA from 2 species
UAGUGAGUUUGAUCCUGGCUCAGAACGAACGCUGGCGGCAGGCUUAACACAUGCAAGUCGAGCGCCCCGCAAGGGGAGCGGCAGACGGGUGAGUAACGCGUGGGAACCUACCUAUUGCUGCGGAAUAACUCAGGGAAACUUGAGCUAAUACCGCAUGUGCCCUUCGGGGGAAAGAUUUAUCGGCAAUAGAUGGGCCCGCGUCGGAUUAGCUAGUUGGUGGGGUAACGGCCUACCAAGGCGACGAUCCGUAGCUGGUCUGAGAGGAUGAUCAGCCACACGUGGGACUGAGACACGGCCCAGACUCCUACGGGGAGCAGCAGUGGGGAAUAUUGGACAAUGGGCGCAAGCCUGAUCCAGCCAUGCCGCGUGAGUGAUGAAGGCCCUUAGGGUUGUAAA